UACGUAGGGGGCAAGCGUUAUCCGGAUUUACUGGGUGUAAAGGGAGCGUAGACGGCCAGACAAGUCAGAAGUGAAAGCCCAGGGCUCAACCCUGGGACUGCUUUUGAAACUGCCGGGCUUGAGUGCAGGAGAGGAAAGCGGAAUUCCUAGUGUAGCGGUGAAAUGCGUAGAUAUUAGGAGGAACACCAGUGGCGAAGGCGGCUUACUGGACUGUAACUGACGUUGAGGCUCGAAAGCGUGGGGAGCAAACAGG
rnacentral:rRNA from 1 species